rnacentral:lncRNA from 1 species
GACACGAGAUAGCGGAGGCCAGAGCCCUUGGCAUGUGCUGUCUGGGCAGCCAAGGCUGUGAGGUCUGCUAGCCAUCAGCUACUGGACAAUCGCCUUAAGGACUUAGAUUACUAAAAGAAGAUUGCAAUUAUUGAUUGAAAAAUGUGUCUUCAUUUUAAUCAGGACAAAACCUCAAAUGGGGAAUCUUCUCUGUUCUCUUAAAACUGCCAAUGCCAGGGAAGACAACCAGACUGAGGAACUCUUUCAGAAUACAGAAGAUCAAAGAGAUGUAACAGCCAGACACAACAAGGACUACUGGACUGGAUCCUGGAUGGAGGGGAGAGACACUACUUCAAGGGUAUCGUAUCACUGAGGCAGAUGGCACAAUUUGAGUAUGGACUAUGACCCUGUAUCAAUACAAUAGUUGUAUUGACACAAUGUUAAAUCUCCUGAAUUGGAGAACUGUAUUUGGUUAUGUUUUCAGGCAGAGGGAGAAGCGGGCUCCACGCAGGGAGCCUGACGUGGUACUCGAUCUGGGUCUCCAGGAUCAUGCCCCGGGCCGCAGGCGGCACCAAACCACUGUGCCACUGGGGCUGCCCACAAAUUAAAAUAUUUAAAGAUAAACUAACUCUCAAAUGGUUUGGGAGAACGUAUGCAAGCAUAUAUAUAUAUAUGGGAGAGAAGAAGGGGGAGAGAAGUGGUAAAGCAAUCAGUCUGGGUUCAGAGUACAGAGGACUUCAUUGAACCAUUCUUACAACUCUGCUUUAAAUUUUAAAUUAUUUUGGAAGGAAGACAUUUUUAUUUAUUUAUUUUCACUUGUGAUGUGUUUUCGUUUUUGUUUUUUUGAAGAGGCAGUAAAAAGUCGUAUUUAAAGGAACUGACAUCUUAUUCAGUGUCAAUUUAUCUGUCAUCGUAUGUCUUUAAGUUCCACCAUUAUAUGAUCCCAAUAAUUACUUCAUGUACAACAUAAGCUUAAAUUGUUUCUUAAUUUGCUGUGUCUUGCUCAAAAGCUGCUUUGGGAGGAAAAAUGAAAUUUUUGUUUUUUAUGGAAAUGGGUAAAACAGAUGGUUUAUACUUUUCUUCUAAUAGUAUAAUGUGGCUUAAAUCACAUCAUGCCCUUUGGCUUUUCAUCUAAGUCAGAACAAAUAAAUUCCUAGUAGUUGAUCAGACCUUCUUUCUGUCCCGGCCCCUCCUUAGCCAGUGUGGCUAGAGGUCCUUGGGAAGCCUCAUCUCUCAUACAUGUUUAGUCAUUAAAGGGUACUCAUUUUUAGCAAGCAAGGCCAACAAAAAUGUGGCUUAUUUGACACUAAAAUAUUCUUCCUUCCAUUCAAAUGGCAGAUGAUCAAAAGGAUACAAGCAAGAAUAUUUUGCUUGGCACGUGGCCUAAAAGUUCUAAAUUUAUCUAUUCUAUUUUUGCUUCAUAUUCAGAUUGGAUUAGUUACUAGGCAACUGAAGUAUUUAAUUUCAUUUGCUAAUAGUUACAUUUUAAUAGAGGCAGCUAGUGUACAUGACCAAUGCUGCCAAUACAAACACAGCCCAACACCCAAUCUCUGCUGAGCAGUAGGGUUUACUACUACUUCAUUCUUGUUGCAGACAAACACUGUUCAUACUCUUAUAUUUUGUUUAUUUGACUUUCACAU